AGCAUGAGAUACUCAUCUACAAAAUCUACGUUGUACUCUACCAUUAGCUACAAUUUUUACAAGUUAGAGUUUUGUCACGAAGUUAAACAAAAUAAAAAGGUAUUUUUCGGUCAGAUAGUCUACAUCCUCACCCCCAACACAUCCCUAACACCAGAGGCCACAGAGAUGGAUUUAAAUGGGUGUUAAAAUAAUUAAACAAAGUGAUGUUUUUAAUAAAUCAACAUAAUUUCUUAAUUGGUGAAAACAUUCUAGCUGCUUUUAACAUUAGACCAGCAUUUUUUACUUUAAAAUUAGGAUACACAUGUUUCCUUCUAAACAAUCACCUCUAAGCCACAGGAAAAAUGUUGUUUGUGUACUGUAUUUCAAAAGGUUGUAAAACAUCUAAACCUGUUUCUAAGAUCUCAACUCAUUUGCAACUUAAUUAGUUGUGAGGGAUCUGGCAUUGUGUACUUUGGUGGUGUGUGUCAGCUAAAGUUCAGUGAAAAACAGAUCAUGUUCAGUGAUUAAAGGAUCUCCAUUGCAUCUA